rnacentral:rRNA from 1 species
ACGCUCGACACCUACGGGGCAGCAGUGGGGAAUAUUGCACAAUGGGGGAAACCCGUGAUGCAGCGACGCCGCGUGAAGGAUGAAGUAUUUCGGUAUGUAAACUUCUAUCAGCAGGGAAGAAAGUGACGGUACCUGACUAAGAAGCCCCGGCUAACUACGUGCCAGCAGCCGCGGUAAUCUGAGCGGGCUGGCAAGGC